rnacentral:rRNA from 1 species
AUGAACGCUGGCGGCAUGCCUAACACAUGCAAGUCGAUCGGUAAGGCUCUUCGGAGUACACGAGAGGCGGACGGCUGAGUAACGCGUAGGAACACACCCUGCAGUGAGGGAUAAGACACCGAAAGGUGUUCUAAUACCGCAUACGGUCUUCGGAUUAAAGCAUUUAUGCGCUGAAGGAGUGGCCUGCGUCAUAUUAGAUAGUUGGUGAGGUAAUGGCUCACCAAGUCGAUGAUGUGUAGCUGGUCUGAGAGGAUGAUCAGCCAGACUGGAACUGAGACACGGUCCAGAAUCCUACGGGAGGCAGCAGUGAGGAAUAUUUCACAAUGAGCGAAAGCUUGAUGGAGCAAUGCCGCGUGCAGGAUGAAGGCCCUCGGGUUGUAAACUGCUUUUAUAAGAGAAGAUUAUGACGGUAACUUAUGAAUAAGGGACGGCUAACUACGUG